GAUGAACGCUGGCGGCGUGCCUAACACAUGCAAGUCGAGCGGCAGCGAGGGGUGCUUGCACCCUGUCGGCGAGCGGCGGACGGCUGAGUAACGCGUGGGAACGUGCCCCAAAGUGAGGAAUAACUGCCCGAAAGGGUAGCUAAUACCGCAUAUUAUCUUCGGAUCAAAGGAUUUAUCCGCUUUGGGAGCGGCUCGCGUCGGAUUAGGUAGUUGGUGAGGUAAUGGCUCACCAAGCCGACGAUCCGUAGCUGGUCUGAGAGGAUGACCAGCCAGACUGGAACUGAGACACGGUCCAGACUCCUACGGGAGGCAGCAGUGAGGAAUCUUCCACAAUGGGCGAAAGCCUGAUGGAGCAACGCCGAGUGCAGGACGAAGGCCUUCGGGUUGUAAACUGCUUUUAUAAGUGAGGAAUAUGACGGUAACUUAUGAAUAAGGAUCGGCUAACUACGUG
rnacentral:rRNA from 1 species